rnacentral:rRNA from 1 species
CCUACGGGUGGCAGCAGUCGAGAAUCAUUCACAAUGGGGGAAACCCUGAUGGUGCGACGCCGCGUGGGGGAAUGAAGGUCUUCGGAUUGUAAACCCCUGUCAUGUGGGAGCAAAUUAAAAAGAUAGUACCACAAGAGGAAGAGACGUCUAACUCUGUGCCAGCAGCCGCGGUAAUACAGAGGUCUCAAGCGUUGUUCGGAAUCACUGGGCGUAAAGCGUGCGUAGGCUGUUGCGUAAGUCGUGUGUGAAAGGCGCGGGCUCAACCCGCGGACGGCACAUGAUACUGCGAGACUAGAGUAAGGGAGGGGGAACCGGAAUUCUCGGUGUAGCAGUGAAAUGCGUAGAUAUCGAGAGGAACACUCGUGGCGAAGGCGGGUUCCUGGACAUUAACUGACGCUGAGGCACGAAGGCCAGGGGAGCGAAAGGGAUUAGAUACCCUUGUAGUC